AAUGAGCCUGCGAGUUGUGGUGUCUGGCAAGGUUAAGCAAACGCGAAGCCGUAGCGAAAGCGAGUCUGAAUAGGGCGCUUAGUCAGAUGCUGCAGACCCGAAACGAAGUGAUCUAUCCAUGAGCAAGUUGAAGCUAGUGUAAGAACUAGUGGAGGACUGAACCCAUAGGCGUUGAAAAGCCCCGGGAUGACUUGUGGAUAGGGGUGAAAGGCCAAUCAAACUUCGUGAUAGCUGGUUCUCUCCGAAAUAUAUUUAGGUAUAGCGUUGUGUCGUAAUAUAAGGGGGUAGAGCACUGAAUGGGCUAGGGCAUACACCAAUGUACCAAACCCUAUCAAACUCCGAAUACCUUAUAUGUAAUCACAGCAGUCAGGCGGCGAGUGAUAAAAUCCGUCGUCAAGAGGGAAACAACCCAGACUACCAGCUAAGGUCCCUAAAUCUUACUUAAGUGGAAAACGAUGUGAAGUUACUUAAACAACCAGGAGGUUGGCUUAGAAGCAGCCAUCCUUUAAAGAAAGCGUAAUAGCUCACUGGUCUAGUGAUUUUGCGCGGAAAAUAUAACGGGGCUAAAGUAAGUACCGAAGCUGUAGACUUAGUUUACUAAGUGGUAGGAGAGCGUUCUAUUUGCGUCGAAGGUAUACCGGUAAGGAGUGCUGGAGCGAAUAGAAGUGAGCAUGCAGGCAUGAGUAGCGAUAAUUAAUGUGAGAAUCAUUAACGCCGUAAACCCAAGGUUUCCUACGCGAUGCUCGUCAUCGUAGGGUUAGUCGGGUCCUAAGUCGAGUCCGAAAGGGGUAGACGAUGGCAAAUUGGUUAAUAUUCCAAUACCAACAUUAGUGUGCGAUGGAAGGACGCUUAGGGCUAAGGGGGCUAGCGGAUGGAAGUGCUAGUCUAAGGUCGUAGGAGGUUAUACAGGCAAAUCCGUAUAACAAUACUCCGAGAACUGAAAGGCUUUUUGAAGUCUUCGGAUGGAUAGAAGAACCCCUGAUGCCGUCGAGCCAAGAAAAGUUUCUAAGUUUAGCUAAUGUUGCCCGUACCGUAAACCGACACAGGUGGGUGGGAUGAGUAUUCUAAGGCGCGUGGAAGAACUCUCUUUAAGGAACUCUGCAAAAUAGCACCGUAUCUUC
rnacentral:rRNA from 1 species